rnacentral:misc_RNA from 1 species
CAAACUCCCACUCUCCAGUUCAGUUAUGCCAAAGCGGCAACGAGACACCAGUUUAUUAUUGACUUCAACACAACCAGGAGAUAUGGUAGGGUAAGCAGAAGCUCCAACUCUGAGCAUAUACCUAAAUUCCAUUCAGGGUGACCACAAUAUUGCGUGCAGUGGGGUGGUCUCGGUGCUCACAUAGCCAUAUUCCCUGCCAAGUACCCAUAUUAAACUUUCCAUUUGUUAUUGGAAUCGUGAGUGCACAGCCAAACAUUGAUGAUUUAAUGUGUGCUGGCAUGUCAUCCGGG